AUGGCUUCUGAAAACUUUGCAACAGGAAUUUUUCUCUUCUCCUACAUCACAGUGGGGAUGUUUGGCAAUUCCUCAAUAUUAUUUUACUAUGUCAUUUUGAUAUUGAAAGGAAAUCAUUUAAUGCCCAAAGAUUAUGGAGCACUUGAUGUUUUCCAACUGCUUUUGGAUUUCAGACCACCUUGUAUGGCAUUGAAUAUAAAUUGAUAGUGUAUAUUGGCUGGAUAACCAGGGGAGUGUCCCUUUAUACUAUGUGCCUACUGAGUUACUUCCAAGCAAUCACAAUCAGCACUAGGAACUUCAAAUUGAUAAAAGUGAAACACAAAACCACCAAGUACAUUGGUCCCUCCUGUUCAAUUGGUUGGUUUGUGCACCUACUUCUAAACAUCUAUUUACCAACAUGAUGUUUAGAAUUUCAGAAUUCAAUUUUUGGCUCCAAUUACACUAAAAAUGCAACUAACUGGAUGAGUUAUGCAUACUGCUCAGUUCGUGCUUCUGACAAUGCCGCAACUGCAGUUUUUUUGUUUGUUUGUUUGUUUGUUUGUUUGUUUUUAAUGUGCUUCUCUGAUGGACUGUGUCUGAGUCUCAUGUUCUGCUCAGGUAUCUCCCUGGUAAGUAUCCACUACAAACAUAAGAGAAAGGUGAAGCAUAUCCACAGUGGUCAGCACUCUCUGAAAUUCUCACCUGAAGUCAGAGCCACACAAAAUAUCCUCAUCCUGCUGUGCACAUUUGCCACUUCUUACUCAUUCUCUUCUUCAAUUCAUUCUCUUCUAUCAUGGCUAUCCUUAAGACAUACUCUAACUAUCCAGUGCUAUACAAAGUAAAUAUAUUUACAUCUAUAGGAAUCUGCUUUCCCAUUUUUUUGUUCCUUUGUUGUCAUCAUCAAUACAAAGUCUAGUCCCAGACUGUUUUU
rnacentral:lncRNA from 1 species